rnacentral:lncRNA from 1 species
CGGGGCGCCGCGGAGCGCUGUCUCUCCCCGCCGGAGGAGGGUCUCCACAAAAACAUCUUCGGGGACUGUGGCACAAGUCUUUGCCAAGUUGAGUCCUGGACCUUGAGGCUCCCCGGAGCCCGGAGCAACUUGGAGGGUCUCCUGGCUCGUUAACGAUAUUUCUACACGUCUCGACUUUGGGGUGCUGGGUGCAGCCUUGGGGCGCGCGGAGGGCGGACCGACCAUUUGGGAGCGCAGAGCGGCGGGAAUCUAGGUUCCUCGGCUGGUGAAUAAAUGCAAAGGAUUUCCCAAAAGGAUGGUGUAGUUUUGCAUGGGAGAGCCGGGAGAGCACGUGUUGGGUACACAGCUGAGGACUGAAGGCAGGUGGAGUCUUUGAAUUUUUAAAAAGACAAUGGUAAUCAGAUUGACUUGAAAAAUUAAGUGAAUUGACUUGGUUGGAACACUCUUUUACCGAUUCAGUAACAUUCAGCUGCUGGAAUCUACAUACCUGGGGUGAAGGCGGCCUUUGGAUUAUUUUGCUGCAGUCCUAGGAGGAACUCUUUGCAGUCUCUUGGAGCUGGCUCUGAAAGGUACUGUGUCAUUUGGUUCAAAGUCUGUUCAGCUUUAAUCCCUUGCGUGUAUGUAUCCAGGCAAUAUGGAGAAGGAAAAACGUGUUCGUACGCAAAAAGUUUGGUAGUGCUGCAGAACGCUAGAUCUGGGUUGACUUUGUCUCCACGUGAAGGAUAAUGACAUUGCUCUGAUCGUUGCUUUGGAAGCCUUCUUGUCAGCAACAUUGACAAAU